rnacentral:rRNA from 1 species
GCCGUCCCCUCCCGUCCGGCCCGACCUACUACGAGUCCUACGGAGGNGAGCAGUAGGGAAUAUUGCUCAAUGGGGGAAACCCUGAAGCAGCAACGCCGCGUGAGUGAUGAAGGCCUUCGGGUCGUAAAGCUCUGUUGUACGGGAAGAAUGCCCAAGUAGCUAACAUCUACUUGGGGUGACGGUACCGUAUAAGAAAGGACCGGCUAACUUCGUGCCAGCAGCCGCGGUAAUUC